UAGGGAAUCUUGGACAAUGGGCGCAAGCCUGAUCCAGCCAUGCCGCGUGAGUGAAGAAGGCCUUCGGGUUGUAAAGCUCUUUUACCAGGGACGAUAAUGACGGUACCUGGAGAAUAAGCUCCGGCAAACUUCGUGCCAGCAGCCGCGGUAAUACGAAGGGGGCUAGCGUUAAUCGGAGUGACUGGGCGUAAAGGGCAUGUAGGCGGUUAUAUUAGUCUGAUGUAAAAGACCCGGGCUUAACCUGGGAUAUGCAUUGGAAACGGUAUAGCUAGAGUAUGGGAGAGGGAAGUGGAAUUUCCGGUGUAGCGGUGAAAUGCGUAGAGAUCGGAAAGAACACUCGUGGCGAAGGCGGCUUUCUGGCCCAUAACUGACGCUGAGGUGCGAAAGCAUGGGGAGCAAACAGGAUUAGAUACCCCUGUAGUCCCUGAGCGGGCUGGCAAGGCGCAU
rnacentral:rRNA from 1 species